AUGUAGCAGGGUCUUUAAUCAAUCAAAUUAAAUGUCAUUUUUCCAAAUAAGCUCCAAGUAUGCACACAUAGGGGUUUUUUUUGUUGUACUUUUUCAUUUUUUUAAUGGCAUUUUCUCAUUUGGGAUGGAUUGCCCGUUUGGAAGCUGUUCUGCUUUACUUUUGUGGAUACCCCCAAAUCCAGCAGCAGCUGCUGCUCUUCCCACUGUGUAUGUAAAAGGGUUACAUUCAAAGUGUAUAUGAGGAUAGAACCACUGAACCCAAAAUUCUGUCUUUGGUCUCCUAUGGCUGUUUUCAGACAAAAACCAGCUCUGCUUUGUGGGGGCUCAGGUCCUCAUGACAGAACUGUGUUACAAUCUGAAAGCAGAUCUUUAUCUUUGACCUGAAAUAAUGGGCACAUCCCUCCUCAUUUUUAUGCAAUGCAGAGCAACAAUAGUUCCAAAAGUCACUUGCUUCCCAUGUUCUCUUUACCACAUCUAGAAAGCAGAGUGCUAGUGCAGCUGAAGUAGUCUGAAACAUGAUUCAAAGUUAGAACUAUAACUGAAAAAAUCCCUUAUUUAUGGCAAGUCACUACAAUUUCAUCGAAAUUGUAAAGAAGAAAAGAGUAAAGAAGAAACCACUGAAGCAUGCAAACCCCCUGAACAGAACUCUUUCCAACAUUAGAGAAGCCUAAUCAAUUUUUUAAUCGUUAUUAUUUCUGAAAGAGAUUUGAAAUAUUAAUGCAUGCCCCCUGGAAUUGAAGAAACAACUCUGUGAACAUGAGAAAGAAUAAAUAUACUGCCAAGAUAACAAAACAAUAGGGAGAACUGAAGAUACACUGAAAAAAAAGCUCAUUCUGAGAGAUUUUACACGAGUGAAAAAUUCACCUUGUGCCAGGGACAGCACUACAGAUAAAUUAUAACUCUUGUUUAGAAGGCCACAGUGCCAGGCCACUAAUCCUCAUUGCAGUCCAUUUCCCUGUGCUCUUUUUUCUGACUUUUUUGGUAUUUCUGAAGGCCAGCACCCAACUCUACAGAAGCUCUCCUUCCACUGGGCAUGGCCAACUUCUCCCUGCACCACAGAGAGUGAUCUGAGUGGGGAAAUUACCUCUCCUCCUUCAGUUCAUAGAAGAUUCAUCUAAGACUCUAUGACCUAGAUGGAUUGUCACACCAGUUGUGGCUCAUAUGGCACUGAUAAUGCUGAGACUUAAAGUAUCACUUUGGAAAUCCUGAGCUUUGGAGUGUCAUUUCCCCUGCAGCUACUGGGGCAGCAAUUACUGAACACAUGCACAGGACAUGCAGAAGAGGGAAGGGACAACACAGGCAGAGUUUAUCCUGCUUCUGGCAAGAGUCAUGCAGCUGAGCAACCUUUCUGGAAAUGAAAAACUUGAGUGAGGAUGUCAGCUCCCAGUUCAGAGGUGAAGCAUCACAGUCAUGAGGAAAGAUUACAAACAGAGAAGUGCAUCCUCCUUCCUUAGUCUGCUUCACCCUUAUUGAUCAUGCUUCAAGCCUGCAGGGGAAGGCAGUGUGGCCAGUGCUGAAUCACUCUCCAGUCUGUACAGGGAUAUUUCAUUCAAUUAUGAAUAAUCAUAGAAUAAAUUAUGCUGGCAUUUCUGGAGGCAAGAGGAGGAGAUGCAAAGAGAGCUGUGUGUCUGUAAGGACUACACACACCUGCAUGGCACAAACAGGAAACCAAUGAAGGCUCUUGUGAAAUGCUGGGGUGAGUUUGGGGAGAAAUGAUUCAACGGACAGUGAGUCAAUGAAACAACGUUGAGUGAAAAGCAACAGCCAGUACAAGGAUUUAUAAGACCUUGGAUGAACCUCUCUGCUCUGGCACUGUCCUGUUGGGUGACCUGAGGCCAACUACUUCCCUCCUGGUGUUUCAGUGCCUACAGCCAUGAAAAGGGGACAACAAUAGCUGCCAGCUGUGGAAAGAGCUUUGAACUGAAAAGAUAAAGAAUGUUACCUAAGAGACAGGAGCUAGAAAAAAAGGCUUUUCAACAUGAGCUGAUUAUGUAAAGGUGAAACUCUUAAAAGUUAACAAAGGUAAAAACAUGCCUCCCUCCCCCAUUGGUAGAAUUAUCAGAGAUACUGAUGGUAGGAAUUGCCAGCUAAUUUCGGUUCUGCUUAUAUUGGUUUUGCUAAGCUGAAACAAAAUUAAAUGGUUUUCUUGGGGUUGUGGCUAUUUCAGAAAAGGGGAUUCCAGGCCAUUUCUUAACUCUACCCCUCUUAAGAGCCCCAAUGAGCAUUCCUCUCAGGUAUCACAAGGUAUGCCUAUCACCCCAAUUAUCUAUCAGUCCAUUCACACUAAUAAAAAGGUAAGGUAGCAGAUUUUAUUACGCUAAAAAAGCCCUCAAAUUCAGGCCAGUUAGGUGUGAAUCAAAAUUUGUUCUUCUGCUGUUCGACAAGUGAAGUGAGGUGUGUUAACUUAUGCUUUGCAAUGAGUAGGUUCUGGGCAGUAACACGGAACCAACAGGGCCAUGAUCCCCUGAAACACAGGGAACAACAACAUAUCCCUGUGUCAGCACCUUAAUUGAGAGAGGCUGUUCUGAGUGGUUGCACAUAUAUAUUCAAUCUGCUACCGUU